GACAGAGGGUGCAAACGUUGUUCGGAAUGACUGGGCGUAAGGGGCGCGUAGGCGGCUCGUGAAGUCGGGUGUGAAAGCCCGGGGCUCAACCCCGGAACGGCAUCCGAUACUGGCGGGCUUGAGACCGGGAGAGGAGGGUGGAAUACCCAGUGUAGAGGUGAAAUUCGUAGAUAUUGGGUGGAACACCGGUGGCGAAAGCGGCUCUCUGGCCCGGAUCUGACGCUGAGGCGCGAAAGCGUGGGGAGCAAACAGG
rnacentral:rRNA from 1 species